UGGUUUUAAUUAUUCUAUGCAUAUUUUUUGGUGUCAUCAAUUUCUAAUCAUUUUGAUUAUGUUAAGUUGCUAACGAGCAGGUUCCUUGAGGAUGUCUUUAAAUAUCGAAGGAAAAAUAGAGAUAUUUUGUAAAACAAAGCCAAAAAUAAUUCAUUCUACGAAUAUAUCUUCUGAACUGUAGAAUUUUCUACCCUCCCCUCUAAAGAAGAAAAUGGCCAUGUUAUCCACUAAGUUUUUCUUUGUCAUGAUAAUAGCACUUAUGGCAUUCACCGCUGUUGCCGAUGUGCCUGCAGAAUGCAAUGUUUGGAUACCGCUAAGUGAAGAUGUAUCACAAUUCGCCUGCAACCCUGAGGUCAUUAAAGAGUAUUACUAUGGCUUCUGUUGGAUGGCUUGCCAAAACCAAUUCCCAGGCAAUUAUGUAACGUUCAGUUAUUGCAUGGAUGGUCAAUGCCGCUGCGACUUUACUCCUCCUGAUUUGGUUAAACCCGAAUGCUUUCCGCAACCUUAAUUUGUAUUUGCUCUUCUAUCAUAUCAUAUUACUCCGUCCUUCAAAGUUAUUACAAAAAAUAUCAAACGGGACAAAUUUUGGGAAACGGAUGGAGUAACAUCUUUAUAGUGGUAUGUGUAUCGUUGUUUUUCUUUUUUCUUGAAUAAUGGCCUGGUUGUAAUUUUGUUAUUGCCAUAGAAGUUAGAACUUUGAUUAAUGGAUAAACUGUACAUGGCCAGAGCCCUUCACUCAUUUUCCUAUUGCAUAUGAGAUGUUUUUUUUGUAAUUUGAUUAAUGUUAAGCCUUUGCUUAAA